UGAGCAAUCUGCCCUUCUCAUCGGAAUAACCAUUGGAAACGAUGGCUAAUGCCGAAUAUGACCUCGGAUCACAUGUUCUGAGGUGGAAAGCUCCGGCGGAGAAGGAUGAGCUCGCGGCCUAUCAGCUAGUUGGUGUGGGUAACGCCCACCAAGGCGACGACGGGUAGCCGGCCUGAGAGGGUGACCGGCCACACUGGGACUGAGACACGGCCCAGACCUCGUACGGGAGG
rnacentral:rRNA from 1 species